UACAGAGGUCCCAAGCGUUGUUCGGAUUCACUGGGCGUAAAGGGUGCGUAGGUGGUGAGAUAAGUCGGAUGUGAAAUCUCCAGCUCAACUUGGAAACUGCAUUGGAAACUAUCUUGCUAGAGGGUUUGAGGGGGACUGGAAUACUUGGUGUGAGCAGUGAAAUGCGUAGAUAUCAAGUGGAACACCAGUGGCGAAGGCGAGUCCCUGGAAAAUACCUGACACUGAGGCACGAAAGCUAGGGGAGCAAACAGG
rnacentral:rRNA from 1 species